GGCAGUUAGAGGCGAUGAAGGACGUGUAAGUCUGCGAAAAGCUGUGGUGAGCCGACAAAAUGCAUUUGAGCCACAGAUGUCCGAAUGGGGAAACCCACCUGUUUACAGGUAUCGUUAACUGAAUACAUAGGUUAACGAGGCAAACGAGGGGAACUGAAACAUCUAAGUACCCUCAGGAAAAGAAAUCAAUUGAGAUUGCCUUAGUAGCGGCGAGCGAACGGGGAACAGCCCUUAAGUUACAAUUGCGUUAGCAGAACAUUCUGGAAAGUUUGGCGAUAGAGGGUGAUAGCCCCGUAUGCGAAAGCGCUUUUGUGAUGAAAUCGAGUAGGUCGGGACACGAGAAAUCUUGACUGAAUGUGGGGGGACCAUCCUCCAAGGCU
rnacentral:rRNA from 1 species